UACUCAUGUCUGAAUAUGGCUAAAGGAGUGACUUGGCUUUUCUAGGCUCCAGUUCUUUAAAUACUAAAUAAGAGCAACAUAGUGGACAACUAGAUAUCUAACCACGUAACUUGGUGACUUGGAAGUUCUUGUGUCUAUGCUUCAUGGAUGGGAAUAGGAGCAAGAAGUUGUUCUUAGUGAUCUCCUUGAUCUACCAAGAAGAGGCCUAAUCUUCUCUGACCUGGAAGAACAACCUCUGAUAAGUGGCUUUGUUCAACUGUUUUGAGUGUGACUCUUAUGUGCUAAGAGCCCUACGACAGACACAGCAGGAAGACCUGGGAUGAGUGGAGUGAUCAAACACCAAGGCAGGAAAGAGGCCACAAUGGAAAGACCCACUCUCUACAUGAGGGUCCAUCCAGGAGGAGAAGCCCAAACUCCAGAGUCUGCUGAGCAUUCUGCACAAGAGGCAGUUCAAGGAGACAAGAAAGAAGAAAUGGAUCUUUAAAAGUACCAUAGCCAGGGUUUCAUGAAGUAGGAAGAUUAUUUUGAAUAUCAAGAACAAUCACAGGAAAAAUAAUCAAUUGAGGGACAAGGGAUCUUCAUGAAAGAGGGGACUCCUGCAUGUCUCAGUGUUCAAAACUAGCAUCAUGGCAGAGGAACAUCGGCUUCUUCAUGGUGCUUCCA
rnacentral:lncRNA from 1 species